UCUACGUUUUUGGCACGAUUCGAACCACGACAAGCCGACAAAUGUCACAUGACAAGCGUUGCCGUGGUAAUCUCCAUUUUGUGACUUUUGUACUGCCGCACAUUCUUGCUUAAUGACUGCCGGCUAACUUUCCCGUCGAUGUAAACACACCAACUUCACCUGGAGAAAACACACACAUGUAUGAAAACACACACAAACACACACACUUGCUCUCAAGCGUUAUCCGUUUCAAGGCCGAACCGGCCGUAAAUCUGCACUGACAGGACACACACACACACACAGACACACUCACACACAUACGUGUAUGUUUUUUUUUUCUAAAAAUCGACUUGCUGCCUUUUGUCCGUUUUAAAAAAAACAUUUUAAUUUUCAUGGACUUAUUAAAAACCAGGACAUCAUUUCAAAUUGGCAGUGUAGAAAAUGCGCAAAUGCGAAUGAAUUACGUUUGGGGCGUAAUGUCCAAAAAUGUCGAUUAUCGUUUUUAACGGGGAUUCUACACGAUUAAUCCACGUACCAAAGAUUUCAAUUGUGACGAUAAUCGAUUAGUUUUCCAUCAGUUGAUUAAUUGGGUGCACCUCUAGUUUGGAUGGAGCAAUACAUCGCUAUCAUGCCGAUAUCGUUUUUGGAUUAUCAUCUCGGAUCAUCUUCAUGCUGCUCAGGGGAAAAAUCUUUCUUUCACUUUCUGCACGGCGAAGUCUUCUAAACAUCUCCCAAGCAGCAUGUAAAAAUAUCUCCACACUUUUUAUGUGUCUGUUAACUGGCUGGGUGGGCGCUUUGAUUGACAGCUCUGGCCGAUUGCUCUCUUCCUCUUUGUUUUUUUCCUCUCGGGCUUCCACUUUUUAUUUCCGACAUUUUGUCGACUGGAAAAACAACGAGCCGGCGCAACAGUUGCCGCGGGACAAACGCCGUUAGCGUCCCGCCACGCAAAACUCACACGACCGGGUGGGCUGACGGCUCGGGUCAUCACGACCCAAACUGUUUUAUUGCGUGUAAACAAUCCCACGUGUCAGCAAGAAAUGGAAAAAGUUUUUUAUUGUCUGGCUGUUAUCAUUUUGUAUCAUUUUCAGCUUCCCGUCAACUAUUUUCGUACUCUUUAGCAUAUUUAAACCCUUGCUGCGUAAAUAUUUGUAUACCGGCCCCAUCUGAUGUAAACUGUGCGUUGGCGCCGUAAACGGAACUUGAAGUGGGCUUUUAUUUUGCUGGGAGAUGCGUGGGAGGUUUAUUUUGAAAUGCUCCUCCGAUGAACGCUAAAUAUUUGCGUCAUCGCGCUCGUUGUCGUCGUCUUCGACUUUCCCUCUGUUGCCACCGCCGCCGCCGCCCGGCCAGGCCCUCAAAGGGCCGGCGUGUCAAUCUUCAGACGGCCGCGCCGCUCUCCUUAUGGGCCGACAACUGCGCUCGGGAUCGCACGGCCCGCAUUCUCGGCAUUGUGGAGAUGUUAAAGAUCUUCCGUGUGCAGGAAGCGAAAGACAAGUGAGAGGCGUUACGUUUCACACCUGCAGGUGUCCAGUUUGAAUUUUUCAUGACGGCCUGCUGGAGCGACAACCGCAACGCAAUGUCAGGCCAUCGGCCAAUCAGAACACACCAUGAACUCUAAGCUUUUUUGAAUGGGUUUAAAUAUUGACUGCAUAUGUUCAUUGUAACACAUUGACCUGCAUCCACACACACACACACUUGUCAUUUUUUCUGUCUGUUACCGAUGGUGCUGAUACUCUCUCCCUCUCUGGGUCACAGAUAAAAGGCUUCAGGUAACCUAAGGACCUAAAGACACACACACACAUACGCAUACACACACGCACACAGUUCUCGUUAAAGAGUAUCUUUGUCAUGACACUGACUUGUAUCUCAUGUGAAAUGGCUGAGUGAAGACUGAGCCAUGUUACACUUUGAAGUCACACACACACACACACGCAAGUGCGUCUGCCGAUGAAGAAAGUACGUCAGCAUUACAACGUGAAAGGAGAAGUGUGUGUGUGUGUGCAUGUUUAGUGUUGGUGUGUCGGGACGGCUCCAAUGCAUUUCCAUGGAGACCAGUGAGUGAAAAAAACUCCCAGAUUUAAUCAUAAUCAUUGCUGCAAUGACACAAAUGAAGUUGAAAAAUGUUACGUGAUGACGCAAUGGUCAAAUGUUGCACUUUCGUAGCUCAAAAGCAAAACAUGAAGUUUAAUGAUAAAGAAACACAAUAUAUGUGACUAAAUAUGCAUUGUUGUAAUUAUUUGUACCCAGAAUCACCUUUACUUUCUUUUUUUUUGCACUUUUUUUUUUUAAACAAGUCAUUGCAAUGCAUAUCCGGAGUUGCCUUUAUAUUGAUGUUAAAUUUUUCAGUCGAAAUCGAAUAGAAAUGAUCAUCCACAAAGCAAUGAAGUUGCUUUUAUUAUUUUAUUUAUUGUUAUGUCAUUGUCUGGAAUAUUUGUUUUUCUGAUACGUCUCCAGGAUACCUUAACUAAAGUUCAAACAUUGCAAAUGUUAAUGCGUCUGCUCGUGCAAUCUAUUUUGAGCAAGUGAAAGAUCCAAAGGACUUCUAAUUUUUUUUUUCACGUCUGCUGCUAUUCAUAACUUUCUUUUAUUGCCUUGACCGUUUUGCUCUAAUUAUCUCACUUCCUCGCCCUCAUGUCGCCACGCUGACAUUUGAGUGUGUGUGAGCUGACGCGUUUACUGGCGCCCCAAAAUGUCCCACUUUGUUUUUCCUGCUUAGUCAGCAUUGAAAGGCACAACACAUCACUUCUCUCUGUUAUUUCAAUAAUAUAACAUAGGAAUAAAGAAAUAGAUGGACACAA